AUACACAAGGACACCACCCCAAUCGAUUCGGUGCUCCUAGAAGCAAGGCAGUGCGACGCAACCACAAAGUGUUAUUGGCAUUUAAUCACGGACUAAAUUAAUCUGCUAUUGCUAUCCCCGGGAGCCUGUCCCGGAUAGCACACUCAGAUAUAUCAGCUUCCUGAUGACCGUGGCUGUCCUGUGUGCGGUUCCUUUCAGAACACCAACCACAUUGAGCUGGUCGCAGACUCCGCUCUGUACACAAAGACAAUCAUCGAAUAGAAGGAGCGCGAAGGGUUUCAACACCGUUCGAAUUCUGUCAAAGAGGGGGCGUGAUUGUUUAACAGUCAAGGCUAUUGGUUUUGAUCUAGGGCACGAGCCGAUCAAAGGUAUCGCUAGAAUCUAAAUCGAUAUGGUGUACAGUCCUAAAGCAAUUCUUGAUAAGAGAUAUAGCUUUCGGUAUCUACAUUGCCCAUCAGAUCACAAGAUCUUUGCAGUGCUGCUUUCACAUGCAGGCGUCGAGAAGAAUGCUGAAACGCUCCUAAGAGCAGCCAAUUCCCUGCUUAUUCAUCAGUAUGUGCUCAAAAACAAGGCCGCUAUGGCAUUCACAAAGG
rnacentral:lncRNA from 1 species